GAUGAACGCUGGCGGCGUGCCUAAUACAUGCAAGUCGAGCGAACAGACGAGGAGCUUGCUCCUCUGACGUUAGCGGCGGACGGGUGAGUAACACGUGGAUAACCUACCUAUAAGACUGGGAUAACUUCGGGAAACCGGAGCUAAUACCGGAUAAUAUAUUGAACCGCAUGGUUCAAUAGUGAAAGACGGUUUUGCUGUCACUUAUAGAUGGAUCCGCGCCGCAUUAGCUAGUUGGUAAGGUAACGGCUUACCAAGGCAACGAUGCGUAGCCGACCUGAGAGAGGGAUCGGCGACACUGGAACUGAGACACGGACCAGACUCCUACGGGAGGCAGCAGUAGGGAAUCGUCCGCAAUGGGCGAAAGCCUGACGGAGCAACGCCGCGUGAGUGAUGAAGGUCUUCGGAGCGUAAAACUCUGUUAUUAGGGAAGAACAAAUGUGUAAGUAACUAUGCACGUCUUGACGGUACCUAAUCAGAAAGCCACGGCUAACUACGUG
rnacentral:rRNA from 1 species